ACGGAAGGCAGCAGUGGGGAAUAUUGCACAAUGGAGGAAACUCUGAUGCAGCGACGCCGCGUGAGUGAAGAAGUAUUUCGGUAUGUAAAGCUCUAUCAGCAGGGAAGAUAAUGACGGUACCUGACUAAGAAGCCCCGGCUAGCUACGUGCCAGCAGCCGCGGUAAUACGUAGGGGGCAAGCGUUAUCCGGAUUUACUGGGUGUAAAGGGAGCGUAGGUGGUUUGGCAAGUCAGAAGUGAAGUGCAGGGGCUCAACUCCUGAACUGCUUUUGAAACUGUCAGACUAGAGUGCUGGAGAGGUAAGUGGAAUUCCUAGUGUAGCGGUGAAAUGCGUAGAUAUUAGGAGGAACACCAGUGGCGAAGGCGGCUUACUGGACUGUAACUGACGUUGAGGCUCGAAAGCGUGGGGAGCAAACAGGAUUAGAUACCCUGGUA
rnacentral:rRNA from 1 species